rnacentral:rRNA from 1 species
AUUGAACGCUAGCGGGAUGCCUUACACAUGCAAGUCGAACGGAGUGGCGAACGGGUGAGUAAUGUAUCGGAACGUGCCCAGUAGCGGGGGCUAACUACGCGAAAGCGUAGCUAAUACCGCAUACUAUUGGAGCGGCCGAUAUCGGAUUAGCUCUUUGGUGGGGUAACGGCCAACCAAGGCGACGAUCCGUAGCUGGUUUGAGAGGCCGACCAGCCAUACUGGGACUGAGAAACGGCCCAGACUCCUACGGGAGGCAGCAGUGGGGAAUUUUGGAAAAUGGGUGAAAACCUGAUCCAGCCAUCCCGCGUGUGCGAUGAAGGUCUUCGGGUUUUAAAGCACUUUUGGCAGGAAAGCGGUACCUGCAGAAUAAGCACCGGCUAACUACGUGCCAGCCGCCGCGGUAAUUC